GACGUAGGGCGCGAGCGUUGUCCGGAUUUAUUGGGCGUAAAGAGCUCGUAGGCGGCUCGUUGCGUCAAUCGUGAAAACCCGGGGCUUAACUUCGGGCUUGCGGUUGAUACGGGCGGGCUGGAGUUCGGUAGGGGAGACUGGAAUUCCAGGUGUAGCGGUGAAAUGCGUAGAUAUCUGGAGGAACACCGGUGGCGAAGGCGGCAUCCUGGACCGGCAUUGACGCUGAGGAGCGAAAGCCAGGGGAGCAAACGGG
rnacentral:rRNA from 1 species